rnacentral:rRNA from 1 species
GUUGUAAGGUUAAGAAAUUAAGCGUACACGGUGGAUGCCUAGGCAAUCAGAGGCGAAGAAGGACGUGUUAAUCUGCGAAAAGCGACGGUGAGCCGAUAAAAGGCGCUAUAGCCGUUGAUGUCCGAAUGGGGAAACCCAGUGUAGGUGACUACACUAUCAUAUAAUGAAUUCAUAGUUAUAUGAGGCGAACCGGGAGAACUGAAACAUCUAAGUACCCCGAGGAAAAGAAAUCAACCGAGAUUCCCUAAGUAGCGGCGAGCGAAAGGGGAGUAGCCCAAGCGGGUAGCAUGAUGUAUUAGUGGAAGCGUCUGGAAAGUCGCACGAUAGAGGGUGAAAGUCCCGUACAUGAAAAUGCAUGAUGUGGAAGCUUAUAGAGUAGGGCGGGACACGUGAUAUCCUGUCUGAAGAAGGGGGGACCAUCCUCCAAGGCUAAAUACUCCUGAUUGACCGAUAGUGAACCAGUACCGUGAGGGAAAGGCGAAAAGAACCCCGGGAGGGGAGUGAAAUAGACCCUGAAACCGUGUACGUACAAUCAGUGGGAGCUGUUACCGUUGGGUAAUAGUGACUGCGUACCUUUUGUAUAAUGGGUCAGCGACUUAUAUUCUGUAGCGAGGUUAACCGAAUAGGGGAGCCGAAGGGAAACCGAGUAUUAACUGUGCGUUAAGUUGCAGGGUAUAGACCCGAAACCCGGUGAUCUAGCCAUGGGCAGGUUGAAGGUUGGUUAACACUAACUGGAGGACCGAACCGACUAAUGUUGAAAAAUUAGCGGAUGACCUGUGGCUGGGGGUGAAAGGCCAAUCAAACCGGGAGAUAGCUGGUUCUCCCCGAAAGCUAUUUAGGUAGCGCCUCAUGAAUGACUGUUGGGGGUAGAGCACUGUUUCGGCUAGGGGGCCAUCCCGGCUUACCAACCCGAUGCAAACUCCGAAUACUGACAAGUUUAAUCAUGGGAGACACACGGCGG